ACGCUCGACACCUAGGAGGCAGCAGUAGGGAAUCUUCCACAAUGGACGCAAGUCUGAUGGAGCAACGCCGCGUGAGUGAAGAAGGUUUUCGGAUCGUAAAGCUCUGUUGUUGGUGAAGAAGGAUAGAGGUAGUAACUGGCCUUUAUUUGACGGUAAUCAACCAGAAAGUCACGGCUAACUACGUGCCCGCAGCCGCGGUAAUCUGAGCGGGCUGGCAAGGC
rnacentral:rRNA from 1 species